ACUCCUCGUCGCUUUUGCAGAUUCAGACUAACACGGCUACCCCUCUGAUACUAGAAACUGCUUAGUCACCAAUACAAUAUUUUCGCUCGGCCAAGGAACUGUGUAUGGCUCAGCUUGUUCUAAGGUUUUUAGUCCCCUCUAAUAGUAUUGCCUCUUUCAUUUAAAAUUAGGUUCCACAAGAGAGUAUAAUCAAUACACUAUAUGAUAAUAUAAUUUAUCAGAAUAUAGGGCAGUAAAGGUGGAUUGUGGAAAACAGAGCAGCUGUUGAGCCAGCAGGUCCAGCAUAUUUUUGUUUUUAUAAAUGAUAUGCAGAGGUGAACUGAAUAGUUUUCAGGUCCAGCAUAAAUACAUACAUUCUGGAGGACCUAACAAGCUAAUACAUUUAAAUGAAGAUGAUGAGUACUGGACAUGAGAAAACGUAUUAGUGUGUUAAUACCAAAUGCACAGGAGAAAGGAAUGAAUGGCAACUGGGGAGACAGGAAGAGGGAUAGGAGGAGGAAAUUAGUGGAUUGGACCAUUCACUAGAAAAGAGAUGUCUUGUCGAAUACAAAAUGAACUUAUACAAUUUAUGCCACACUGCAUUAUUUAAAGCCACAAGUCCACUACUUAAACCAAAAAAUAGUUAAGAACAAAUCUCUGUUCCAUAUACCUGCAACCAUGCUUCUUUUUUUAAAAAAAAUUGAUUGGUUUUAUUUUUAGAAAUCAGAGAAUGUAAGAAACAACCGUCCCAUCCUGCAGAAACAGUGAUGAAUCAACAUAAAGACCAAAGCUGAAGCAAGACUGCACCCUUCCGGUUUUGUGUCAGGAUUUUGUUAACGCUUUGUAACUGGAAGAUUUGCCAUCAGGACCCUGCCAUGGAAAUACCCCUCCCCGAGAGGCAAGGCCUUUGAAUGCCGUGAUGAGAUCUGGCUAUGCUGGGAGCAUUUGAAAAUUUGAACACACUUCUUUUGCUGCGCCAGGGGAAGAAGCAGAGCAGGCCGGCCUAUUCUUCAUUGGGCAAGGAGGAGCGGAGCCAUCCCGAGCUCUCUUUCUGCUCCCUCUUCUCAUCCUUGGGCGAAUGGCCUUGGCUGUUCCCUCCCCUCAUUGCUGUUUCCUGCAGCAGCUCUGUUUGCCUCCGGCGGAAGAGAAGCAGGACAGGCAGCGGGGGAAAUCCUGAGCCUUUCAGAGGCAGCCAAAAUCCACCUUCCGUGUGGUGAGUUGGCAGCCCUGGAGCGGACAUUCCCCGGCUACAGGCCUGAGGAUCGCUGCCCAGAAGGCUGUACCGUGCAUGUGUGUGUGUUUGGGGGGGAAGGGGAUCUCUGCAAAGAAGACAUUGCAGCUCCCUGGGAUGGUUGUCAUUUGGAAGUCAGCCUAGUUCCAACUGCAACACUGGACGGCUUGUGGCAUUGGCUGGCUG